rnacentral:SRP_RNA from 1 species
CCGCCGGCUCAACGCGGUGGCGACCCCCGAACCAGGUCAGGCCGAUAGGAGCAGCCUUAAAGGGUAAUCGUCAGGUGCCGUUGCUUACCCGGCGGGG